rnacentral:rRNA from 1 species
AUGAACGCUGGCGGCGUGCCUAAUACAUGCAAGUCGAGCGCACAGACGAGGAGCUUGCUCCUUCGACGUUAGCGGCGGACGGGUGAGUAACACGUAGGUAACCUACCUAUAAGACUGGGAUAACUUCGGGAAACCGGAGCUAAUACCGGAUAAUAUUUCGAACCGCAUGGUUCGAUAGUGAAAGAUGGCUUUGCUAUCACUUAUAGAUGGACCUGCGCCGUAUUAGCUAGUUGGUAAGGUAACGGCUUACCAAGGCAACGAUACGUAGCCGACCUGAGAGGGUGAUCGGCCACACUGGAACUGAGACACGGUCCAGACUCCUACGGGAGGCAGCAGUAGGGAAUCUUCCGCAAUGGGCGAAAGCCUGACGGAGCAACGCCGCGUGAGUGAUGAAGGUCUUCGGAUCGUAAAACUCUGUUAUUAGGGAAGAACAAACGUGUAAGUAACUGUGCACGUCUUGACGGUACCUAAUCAGAAAGCCACGGCUAACUACGUG